rnacentral:tRNA from 1 species
GGUUCCGUAGUGUACUGGUUAGCGUGCCUGCUUUGCAUGCAGAAGGUCCUGGGUUCACACCCCAGGAGGAGUCA